rnacentral:lncRNA from 1 species
ACAACACAGCCCACGCAGGCAAGAACUACAGGAACAACCACUGAAGAAGAAGACGAAGAGGUUCUUAGAGUAGGAGAGUUUUCAUGGGGAGCAGACGUAGGAGGAGGAGGAGGAGGAUGAGGAGGUGAAGUAGAAACAUCUUGCGUAGGUUUUGGAUCCGAAGCUGUUGAAGAAUGAGUUGAGACAUUUUUAUGAGAAGGUUGUGGGGAUGAUGGUGGUGUGAUAGUUGCAGCUGCAGGCGUAGCCUCGCGGCUGUUUCUUCUGGAAGGCAAGUUGUCAUAUGUUAAUGGCUCACGAGGUACAAGUGCUUUCCUGUGAAACCCAACUGCUUUCCUACAGAGAAAGUAGAAAAACAAAAAUAAGGUUAUGUCAUUGCAACAAAAAUAAGGUUAUGUCAGAGCCGAUCCUAACGAAACAUUCGUUUGAAAAAGUUUAUAUAUAGAUAUGCCCCAAAAUUAUUUUAGUCCCCAAAAUUAUUGAAAUCUUUAAUAAAUCGUGUAAGACACCAAAAUCUGAGGGCCGCCCCCUAACAAGUUAAGAUCAAAAUGAUAAAUAUCUCGACAUGUUUAGUGUUGAUUCUAGAAGUAAAUUAAAUAUCUGUGGAGCAAGACAGAUUGACUCGUUAUCAAGAUUGAUAUCUAAGAUAUGAGGUUUAGUCUGCGAUAUUAUAUAUCUUUUAGGAUUAUGAAAACCAUUUUUAGUAGAUUAAAAAAAAAUUAAAGAAAAUGAAUAUUGGAUUUUGAGGCUGUAUAAAUAUGGAUUUAAAAACUUGUAAAUUAUUUAUUUACAUAAUCAAUAUUAAAACCUUAUAACGGAUAUUUACCUCAAAAUAGAGUUUUGCUCUCUAAAUUUUGUAGAUUUUUCUUGUUUGAUUAGCGUUUGUUCACAACAAUCACUAACAAUACUUACUUGUAACUAACAACGGUUUUUUUUUCUACAUAACAUACGAUACAGAGUGUGUGUGUGUGUGAAGUCACUUAAGUUAUGGAAUGACUAGAGAAACUAUAGAUCUACCAACCAACCACCAACUACAAGUUCAAGUUGUUGAGAUAAAUAAACUUACUGAAUUGCUGAGUCUUCAUCGGACCAUAGAUCUUUCUCCAAUCUAUCUUUAUCUAAACCUGAAAACACACAAAGCGCAACAGAGGAGGAUGAAAACAUAUUCUCAGGGAACUUGUUCAGACAAAACAUGCAAGAAAGCUUGAUGUACCUUCUUCCUUAAGCGAAAAACACGAGCCGAAGCUGAGCAGGACUACAAAAGCCAUAACAGAACGCAUCUUCAGUAUCGAACUAACGGUGGAUCUUCGUUUCUCAUUCAUGACAGAGUAAGAACGUGAGAGUUGAACAGGAUGACGCAAGAAGAUGAUGGAAUCUAGAGUUUAUGGAUCUGAAUAUUUUGAAACUAGGAGCAGAGUAUCAGAAAAACAGGGAGAAGGUUGACGAAAAGACGGGUUUAUGAGAAGAUAAGAGAGGAAGGAAGCAUAAGACUUUUUCAUUUUUGAUGGAAAACGCGUUGCACCUUGUUAAGGCUAAUAAGGAAACGAAUCUAUACGUCCAAAAAAAAAAGAGUAUUGGUCAACGAUAACACAUUAACAAGUACUAGUAAACUGAACCGAACCAAAAUACAAUUAUAUUACUACUUACUUUUCCAAGACAGAAAAAAUCAAAACCAAACAAUUUAAACAAAACCAAAUACUAGGUUCGGGAAGAAAAACUAGAAACUCGAACUAAAAUACCCACUAAAAUAUCCGAACCCGAACCUGAUUCAAAUUGUAAAAAAUAAUGAAAUGAGUUAUGUAAAAAUAUUGGAAAUGGUUAUAUACGAGAUAUAUUUGAACCCGAAGUGUUAUUAAUUAAACAUGAACAAUUAUUCACAAAAAUGAAUGUUAAAGUAACUAAAAGAAACUCAAAAAUUAUUCAAUUCAAAAAUAAUACUGAAAUAGUAUCCAAAAUAAGUAUCUAAUCCCUAAAUAAAUUAUCAAAUCUAAAUUUAAGGUUUAUUUUGAUAUGAUAUCUAAAAAUACUAAAAUAUGAAGUAUUAUUAACUGAAUCUAAAAUGAAUUCAAAUCCAAAUUGGAUUUUCUGCCAAAGUUAUAUAAUAUACCUGAAUUUGAAGUAUUAAUUUACUCAACCCAAACAUAUAUAAAUUUGAAUGAGGUUUUGGAAACAGAAUUUGAAAAUCUAAAAAUCCGAUCUAAACCCAAACGGGUACACAAGGUCAAUGGCUACCAAAUGCUAAGACUUAUUUUUCUAAAUUUCUAUCGUCUUUUCAUAAAAUCAAAUUUUUCCAGAAAGAGCCACAUUUAAUGUUCAACAAAUUAGUCUCAAAGAAUGUUGUGGUAGAGUAGUAAAAGGGUUCACAAGGGAACUCCCAAUUAGCCAGCUGCCAUCAAAAAAGACUUGUGGCGUAGCAAAUGGUUUCUAUCUUCAUUUUCUUGUUUUUUUCCUACAAACUUUUAUUCGGUUGUAAAAUUCAACCAAGGCAAACAAAAUAGAAAAUGCCACGUAAAUUUGGUGUGAAGAUAUGUUAAUAAUGAUUGAAGGAAUGAUUUGUCAUCUUAAUUAUGUGGAGGAGAGAAAAUUAUGACUGGUUCAAUGUGGAGGCUGCUUAGAUGUUGCUUUCUUUAGUCUCCCAAUUCUUAAAACCAUGUGGGAUCCUCCUUGUUAGGUUACUAGUCAGCAAGCAAACCCCACGAUUCUUUCUAACUAAACUGCUUUACUUUCAUAUUAUAAUGUAUUUAUUUUUCUCAACAUUUUCAUGUUCUAAUGUUAUGAAAAUCAAUAUAAAAAUAUAUUUUAUAUUAUUCCCCCUGAAAAGAUGAAGAAAAUUUAAAAUGGGCUUAACGUCAAACUUUUCGGCUAAGCUGAACAACUUGGUUUUCUUUUGGGCUUGGAUAUAUAUUGUCAUAGAAAGAACACUUUGAAUACUUGGAACAAAUAUAGUUAUUUUUUUAACUUCAGAUGGUAAAGCUUUAAACUUUGAAUCAACCAGACUCAGUAUAAGAUCUCAGAUAAUAGAUUAUAUGCAUCUUUCAAGGGAUCAAAUCUGAUUUAACUCUGGUAUACUGAUGAUUAGCCACACUUCUCAUAGCCAAAUCUAUUCAGGUUUAAACUCAAAAAUGUCUAACGCCGCAAAAAUAGUCAAACCUUUAUAAAAUCAUGAGUAAACCCCUCAACGGGUGAAAAACAUGUCUCCACAAAAAGAAGAAACACCACACAACCUCUCGGAUGUUUUCUACUUUUAAAACAAAAAUACUCGAGAUAAUGGACGAACAGACAGAAAGAAGAUUGGUCGAAAAAAACGGUAUUACCGGCGAAUUCUACUCAAUGAUUCCGGCUCCUUCAAUGUCAACUUCACCCAUCCCUGUGUCCUCUUCUUCUUCUCCACUUUCUUCAUCCCCGCUGAUUUCUUCAUUGUCCAUUCUUAGCUUAGCCAUGUGUUCUGUCAGCAUCUUAUCAUCUCUUUCACUCACCUGUCAAACACACAUUUUAAGACUCUACAAAUAAAGGAAAGCUAGUUCUUGUAAUAUGCAACUUGGGAUGGUUCAACAACUAAAGAAGAAGAUACUCACAGCUCUAGGUGCUUCCUUAACGACGAGCUUGCCUUUGUGUUGAUCAAUUGUCUCGGUGCAAGCUACUAUGGCUUCCGUCAGAAUUUCAAUCCCUUGGUCCUGUUUAUUAUGUUAUUAGACACUGACAAGAUUAAAUACAAUAAGAUAAAAACAUAGCUUCAAAAUAAGAGAUUGUCUAACCUUGUCAAGAGUCUGAGUAGUAAGGACAUAAAGAGGCGGAGCAACCAACUUAAUCUUCACAGGACAGUCAUCGUUUCCAGCAGCUUCAGCCUUUCUCAUGGCCUCCUGAAAUUGAAAUUACAAGUAUGUGUGUGAGAAAAUCAAAUGAUGUAUUCUUUCCAUAUGUUAUAGAUAAUCAAAUAAGAGUUUACGACCUUGAUGUGGACAACUCCGUCAAACUGAAAACAUUUCAACUCGAUAUCAGCACGGAUUUUCAUCGGUUGUGGUGUCAUCCUCCUCCUAAUGUUCUUCACAAGAGCAUCCUUCACUUCUUCCGUAACAGCAGGUACAACUUUAGUCACCUACAAAUAGAAAUAUCCCAAGAUUAGGAACAAAAACAAAAAAAAUGAAGCCAGAGAACAAAGUAAUAUACCUCCUGCCCAUCAGGCCCAACUUCUUUGACCUCACGUGUGAGUGAACCCAACACUGAAUCAGGAUCAGUCACUAAGAUCUUGAAAGCCUGAACAAAACAAAAAAACAAAAAUCUCUAAAUACUAAAUAUCUACAUGAAUACAGCAAAAGCUCAACUCACAAACUCUUACCUCAAAAGCAUGACCAUGUUUCCGGUACAAAGGCCACCCAAUGUUCACAUACAACUCCUGCAAUAGAUAAAUUCAAAUCAAUGUACAUAACAACAAGGUGGCUAAUUUACACUAGAUACAUAAGUUUCAUAAUCAAUAUCACUAAAGAUUCAAUUUUUUAUUUAAUCAAAUCAAUGCAAGCUACUAUGAUUACACAAAGGUAGCUACUUUACACUAGAUACAUGAAUUUGCAUAACCAAUAUCACUAAAGAUUCGAUUUUUACUUACUCAAACUCAAUUUAAGCUACUAUGAUUAUUACACAAAGGUAGGUAAAUAAUUUGCAUAAUCAAUAUCACUGAAGAUUCGAUUUUUAUUUACUCAUACUCAAUGUAAACUACUAUGAUUACACAAAGGUAGCUACUUUACACUAUAUACAUAAUUUGCAUAAUCAAUAUCACUAAAGAUUCGAUUUUUAUUUACUCAAACUCAAUGUAAGCUACUAUGAUUACACAAAGGUACAUAGUUUGCACUAAAGAUUCGAUUUUUAGUUAUUCAAAUCUAUGUAUGGUUACACAAAGGUACAUUAAAGAUUCGAUUUUGAGUUACCUCCAAAUCGAUAGAAAGAGUCUCAGCGACAUGACGCAUGAUAGAAUGAACGAGCUUGCUCUUGUUAUACCUCUCUUCACAAGUCUGAAUAUCUUCCUCACUAACUCUACGUUUGCUCAGAUCAAUGUAACCUUUCUCUUUAUCCACACGCAGGACCAUGACGGGCUCGAUUCUCCCGACCUUGAUCAAGCUGCUCACACUCCGGAUCCGACGGCGGGAGAGCUCGGAGAAGAGGAUCAUGCCUUCGAUGUUGUUGUACUCGAGGAGGGACACGUAGGCUCCCAUGUCGGCGAUGUUCUUGACUUGGAUCAUCACAGCCAUGUCGACUUCUGGGUACUUGGCUUCGUACAUCCGGCACUCUAGAUUCGGGGUUUGACUCGCCAUGGUUGAAGAGGAUUAGGGUUUUGAGCGACCAAUCCAAGUGUUCUGAUUCUUUACCUACAAUAAAUAAAUAAAAAGAUUAGCUUAUGUAACCAACAUGUGACAUUAAGGCUUAUGUAAGGUUACUCACUGUGUAGAUGUUCAAAGAGUGAACCGUUUGGAGCAUAUUCAAAGAUCAAGAUCCUGGUGAAAGGUUCCUUUUCUUCACAGUAGCCAAGAAGGUUCACAAAGUUCUUGUGGUUUAUCUUGGAUAGCAUUUCAAUCUAAAAAUAAUGAAACCAAAAAUUAUAAGAUUGACUAUAUUGGUCAAAGACAUGAAAAGCAUAACUAUUUUUUUUUUUUGUAACACAUAUAAAAAGUAUAACUAAUAUAACAUACCUUCUUCCUGAAUUGAAUCUCUGUAUUUUCUUUCCAGUCAUUGGCACAAGUAGUGUCAAUAGAAGCAACAGCUAUCUCCACUCCACUUGAUAGUGUUCCUUUGAAGAGCUUCCCAAUGGGGCAUGAUCCAAUGACAUUACUGAAGUCUUCACAUGCAGCUUCAAUCUCUGAUCUUUUGAGAGUUGGGAUACCUGAGUAAUAAAAACACACAUUAGUUGAGAAACAUUAUGAAGUUAAGUGAACUCACCAAACAUAACGUGACAAAUGAGAAAGAAUAUUAUUACCAGUUACAAAUACUUUCUGAAGUUGUCCGCUAAGACCUGUACGCCAAGGAUUCACUGACUUCCCUACUUUAUUUUUAAAGUAGAACACACCGGUAGCUACAAGGAGGACGAGAACAACACCGCCCACGCAGGCAAGAACUACAGGAACAACCACUGAAGAAGAAGACGAAGAGGUUCUUGGAGUAGGAGAGUUUUCAUGGGGAACAGACGUAGGAGGAGGAGUAGGAGGAGGUGAAGUAGAAGCAUCUUGCGUAGGUUCUGGAUCCGAAGCUGUUGAAGAAUGAGUUGAGACAUUUUUAUGAGAAGGUUGUGGGGAUGAUGGUGGUGUGAUAGUUGCAGCUGCAGGCAUAGCCUCGCGGCUGUUUCUUCUGGAAGGCAAGUUGUCGUAUGUUAAUGGCUCACGAGGUACAAGUGCUUUCCUGUGAAACCCAACUGCUUUCCUACAGAGAAA